GGGGGGGGGGGGGGGGGGGGGGGGGGGGGGGGGGGGGGGGGGGGGGGGGGGGGGGGGGGGGGGGGGGGGGGUCUCUGAGAUUCAUCUGCAGAAAAUCCCAAAAUCUCUCUGAGUUUCAAAGAGAAAAUCCUGAGAUCCCUCUGAGAUUCAAAUAAAAAAAAAUCUCAGGAAUUCUCUUGAGAUUUAUCCAUAGAAAAUCCUGGGAUCCCUCUGAGAUUCAUCCACACAAAGAGAAAAUCUCAGGAUCUCUCUGAUACUCAAACAGGAAAUCCUGGGAAAUCUGAGAUUUAUCCAUAGAAAAUCUUGGGGAAUCUGGGAGAUUUAUCCAUAAAAAAUCCCAGGAUCCCUCUGAGAUUCAAACAGAAAAUCCUGGGAAAUCUCUGAGAUUUAUCCAUUAAAAUCUUGGGAUCCCUCUGAGAUUCAAACAGAAAAUCCCAAAAUCUCUCUAAAUUUCAAAGAGAAAAUCCCAGGAUCCCUCUGGGAUUCUGGGAUGGAAGAUUAAUACACACACACACACACACAAAAAUACAAAAAAAAGCCAUUUUUGCCUCAGGGUUCCUCCCUUUUUUGCCCCUUGGAGAAGCAAGAGUUGGGAAUUCCAGGAGAACGGGGUGCUGAGGGAAAAAUGCCAAAAAAUGACUUUGCUGGGAAUGUUGCACUUUGGGCUGUGCAGGAGAGGAUGAGUUCAGUUCCCAAAUUUGGGAGAGGCUGAAAAAUCCCAUGGGAUGAGCUUGGAUUGUUUUCCUUGCUGGAUUCCAGAAUUGCCAUCUGAAAGAAGUUCCAAAAGCAGGAAAAAAAAAAUAAAAAACAACUUUAAGGACAUUUUCUUUGGGGGGGGGGGGGGGGGGGGGGGGGGGGGGGGGGAAAAAAAAAAAAAAAAAAACAACUUUAAGGACAUUUUCUUUUUAUUUUUUUUCCCUUCUGGAAUCACUGCUGGGAUGGAGAAGGAAAAUCCCUCACAUCCAAUGCUGUGCUUCCAUAGAAAAAACAGAACUUCCAUCAUUUCUGCUCCCUCAUUUUUCCUUUUAAUCCCAAAUUUCUGUUCCAUAAUCAUGGAGAGACCUCCCAGAAACUCCAGGAAUGUGAAGAGAACUGGAAAAGCAGAGGAGAACAUGCACAGGGUCUUUCCCAGUCCUCUGGCUGGAGCUGCUGAAUUCCAGUCAGAAUUCCCUGGAUUUGGGGCAGAAUUUUGGAGCAGAAUCUUUCACUGGACCUUCAGAAAUUCCCAAAUAUCUUAUUUUGGUAAAGGAUGUUUUUGGAGCUGAUAAAUCAAAGUUUGGGGAGAGUUUAAAUCCAAAUCUUGGUUGGUUUUGGGUGAGGGAUGAGAAAAUUCAGGGCUGGAAUUGGGAUUUUAAAAUUGACCCUGCCAGAGCCUGAAUUUCCUGUGCUGAGCUGCCCAAAUCUCCAAUUUCAGGAUUAAAUUUAAAAUUAAAAAAAAAGUCCCGUGGGACUUGGAAAUAUCCAGGCAGAAGUGCCAGAGUCUCUAAUCCAGCAAGGGGGGAAAAAAGGAAAAAGAAAAAGGUAUUGAGAUGUAAUAAAAUCGGGGAAAAAAUAAAAUCAGGAAAAGAAUUAAAUAACAAAAAAUCAGGGAAAGGAUAAAAUCAGAAAAAAAAAAAUAAAUAAAACCGGGGGGGAAAAACAGGAAAAAAAUAAAAUGGGGAAAAAAAAAUCAGGGAAAAAAUAAAAUAGAGGGGAAAAAAUAUUAGAGUAAAAUGUUAGAUUUGGGGGGGGGGGGGGGGGGGGGGGGGGGGGGGGGG
ensembl:lncRNA